GAAACUCCUCUACUUGGCCCUUAUCGAAGGCGUUCCUGUUUCCCUGUAGCAGGCAGCGAUCAGAAGGAGCCUAAAUAAUCACUUUUACCGACGGUCGCUGUGUGGCUGUCCCCUUAGCCACUUCAGCAACAUUAAGGGAAAGGACACCUUCAUAACUUCUUUUAGGAUCAGUUGGUAUGUUCAGAGUGUUUGACUCCACCCAAAAGAAGAAAAUGACCUACUUGCUGAUGGGUGCAAUUGGCUGAGAGGCAGACAACAUGGCCCUUAAGUGAUUCUUAAAGAAAGAUGGUAGCAAGUUAAUCUUGCUGACAAGAUGAUCCUGAAGUCAAACUGAAAAGGUUGUGAAUGAACUGGCUGUGAUGGGUGUUCACCUUGACACAGGAUGGUGUCCUACUUGAUGCAGGACCAUGUUGUGCUCACUACCACAGCCGACCUGAGUUUGGUAUGGACACUUGCACCGGAGUGACUGGAUGAAAUGCUGACAGAUGCAGAAUUGAGGAACCAUGUACCACGUACCACAGUGGCUUGAGUACAAGUGCGUGGCACAAGACCAGUGAAAUCUGACUUGCCUUACUGGUUAAAUAGAUUGACACUUGGUUUUUUAGCAAUGCAAGGGUCAUGGAAAGCCUGUGAGUUAUAAUCAGGGUAACAUGAGCCUGUAGUAUGUAUGCUGUGCUUUGAAACCUGUUUUAACCAAUAAAUCACAAUAUGAACAACUGGUCUGUUAAUGAACCUGAACAGUGCAUGGUGACUGGUAAAUGAGACCUUUUUUAGCUGCACACAUGUUCAAAUCAAAGGGGGGGUUGGUCUGAAUGUGUUGUCACGUGAUGCAUCUUGGUCUAAAUCUAUAGUAACCUUGAGAAAUUAACUGCUUACAAAUAUUAAGGAGUUUAAUUGGUUUUUGCAUUUUUCUAGCAAAAUCCUUAAGUGAUUAGUUUUAAAGGGUGCAACCAACAGCAGUGGCGCUUCCAUUUCAGGGCAAUGAGCUCACUGCCCAAAACCUUAUACUUUUGCUACUGCUUGAACUGAAGGUGAAUGAUUGAAUUUGUUGGGUAAGAAUAUUUACAACACUUUCUAGGGAAUUGUCUGCUUAAGCAUACCUAAUAUGGAAAGUAGGAAAAUAGCCUAUAUAAGUUGCUCAUUGUACUGGGUAUGUACUUCAAAAUGGAACUGCAUAACAAAGUAAGGACUCAAUAAAAAAAUUCUGAUACAUUGAAAUACAGUUGUUGGUUAAUAAAUGUAAAACUACAACAAACUUGAGUACAUUUGUCACUGGAGAAAUCAUUUACAGUGCUGGAGCAAAU
ensembl:lncRNA